UCCGAUAUCGUCUAGUGGUUAGGAUAGCCCGCUCUCAAAGCAAGUGCCGGGCAGGCCGGGGUUCAAUUCCCCGUGUCGGAA